ACCAUACUUGUAAAGGGCGGCUCGCUUCCUCCUGGCUGUUGGCGAUUAUUCACCUUCUGAAAUUCCGGAAGGCUUGUGUGGAUGAUAACCCUAGGAAGAAUCUAGAUCAAAGAUCUGAGCGGAAGGUUGGGUCGAGGCUCCUGAAUCCUGGAGGAUGGGAGCCACAGCAGACACACUGUUUUCUUGAGGGAAAAAAUUUUAAGUAAUACCUAAUACAGAUGGGGUGCCCGGCUGGCUCCGUUGCCAGAGUGUGCAACUCUUGAUCUCGGGGUUGUGAGUUCAAGCCCCGUGUUGGGCAUGGAGCUUACUUAAAAAAUAAAUUAAAAAAUUAAAAAUAAAAAUAAAGUAAUACUAAUAAAAGCGAUACUAAUAAAACAGGUUAGCCCCAGAAUACCGGGAGACGGCUAAGGUACAGUUUGUCCUCCAGAGGCUUGAGAGGCAGGGAGGCAGACGCAUACACAGAUAGUUACAGAUAAAGAUGAGCUAGCAGGUGUUCAUGGUGGGAGUGACCCAGGAAGGCUUCACGGAGGAGAAGGGGUGCUGGGCAAAGGGCCUGCGCAGCUGGAGGGAGUCACCAACAUCAUGCCUCUUGGGACAUGUUUUGUCAUCAGCUGACGACUGUCGUGACUGAUUUUCCUUUCCCGCAGAACAGGGAGGUUGUGAGAAGUGGUUCAGAAACUGGAAAGUAUUCUCAGUGGAUGUGAGAAGGGGGUUGUCCGCGAUGAUGGCUCACGGGCCACAGCACCUACGAUUUUAGCAGGAGUGACACGUGCAGCUGGGACCCGACUGGCCGUAGCUCUUGGAGCCCAUUUGCUCAUCUAUGAAACGGAGGCCAUCGCACCGCCUCUCAGGGGCACUCCCAGAUCCGCGAGGUUCCUAGAGCACUGGCGCCUGGUCUCAGUGCGGCAAGAGGGUUUGAGUCCCGGCUACCCCACUGACCGGAUGUUUGACCUUCAAUCAACGUCUUCAUCCCACUGAACCAUAUUCAUGGCUCUCCUUAUGUGCCGACCCCUGCAAUUCCCCCAAAUGUGGGAAACGCGACCGCACGAUCUGUGGUCGCGGGGGACGGUGCUCUCGCUUUCCCCUGACAAUAAAGUGGCUCCAGAGAAACGGUCAUAUCUUGCUGCAGCAGACAGCUUUCCAGUUGCUAUUCCCCACACAUUGUCAGUGUUGUGUGGGAGUAGUCUCACCCCCCAAAAGAAGCAGCGAGUCUGAGUGUAGAGAACCCGGUUCCUAGCCCUUCUCCAUCCUACUUUCCUGGCCGGGAGGACAGUCACCCAGCUCCCGCUCUCAGGUAGAAAGGGCACUGGCUUCGGCCCAGAGGAGGACGAGUAGAGUCUGUGAGGGUUUCUGGAGACUCUCUAGAAGCAGCAUGGACAGGUGCCUUGGAGGGCAGGUACCCCGGGGGGACAGGUGCCCAGGACCCGGCCUGGGAAUCUGUGCCCCUCCCCCAAAGGCUGUGUUCUCACCUGUAGGAGGGAGUGGCAACUCGACCUCACAGAACUGUUGAGAGCUCUAAGCAUGAUAACGUGUGUGUACACUGCUUGGCACCAAAUAUUGCAACAGGUGAGGUCUGUGUUUAGUUCCGUGAAGGCACGUCUUACUCACCCUAUGCAGACGGCCACGCACGGAGUGGGCAGGUGCCAAAGUGUUGAACUGAACGGAAUCCUCAUCAGCAGGUCAGCACCUGCCCCACUCGACUUCCUGUUUCUCCAGGAAGUGCUGCACCUGCAGGGGCCCUGCUCUCGGGAGGAGGGCAGCGACAGCCAACAGCUUAGGGCCUCCCAUUGGUUCAUUCCGCAGCAUGACACCUGGCCCUGUCUGCUCCCUCGCUCUCGUAGCUGCAGACCACACCCCCACCCUGUGUCACUCUGCAGGAACGAGUUUGUAAGUCUCCUGUAUCUCCUUCUUACCCUUCGGUUUGUAAAUAUUCUCCAGCAUGGGGGCUCCUGGCCAGCUCAGUCACCGGAGCAUCUGAGUCUUGAUCUCAGUUGUGGGUUCGAGCCCCACGCUGGGUGUAGAUUGCUUAAAAAAAUGAAGCCGUAAAAAAUUAUUUUCCACCACAGACAGCAUCUCACAGAUUUCUCUCACAGUGUGAUUUGCCCUUGAGGCUUUUAUAUUUUAUUUUCUAAAUAAAGUUGGUGAGGUGCCUGGCUGGCUCAGUCCAUAGAGCGUGUGGCUCUUGAUCUCGGGGGUGUGGGUUCGAGCCCCCACGCUGGGUGUAGAGAUUACAAAAAAAAAAUUAAUGAAAUGAAAUCUUUAAAAAUAAACAAAUAAAUCAAAUCGGUUAUAGUAAGAGCUAGUGUUUAUGGGCUUGUUCUGGGCUGCUUCAUGCUCACUGUCUCAUUUUGUUCUCACAAGUCAGAUACUACGAUUUUCCCCACCUUAUUUUAUUUAUUUAUUGGAUUUUUAUUUACUUAAUUAUUUUAGAGACAGAGAGAGAGAGAGUUGGGGGGGGGACAAGCAGACACCCCGCUGAGCCUGGAGCCCGAUGCGGGGCUCGAUCCCAUGGCCCCGAGAUCACAACCCCAAGAUCACUACCUGAGCCAAAAUCACAAGUCGGACACUUACGGAAUGGGCCGCUGUUUUUCCCAUUUUAAAGGUGAGGAACCUAAGACUCUGAAAGGUCAUGAAAUCGCCCAAAGUCCGGUGGCCACUCGGUGGCAGAAACUGCAUUCGUGUCCAGAAUCCCACGCGCACCCACGUAGUUAUGGGAGGCUCUGGUGUGCCAGAC